rnacentral:lncRNA from 1 species
CGGGGCGCCAGGUGCAGCCUGCGGGACGUCCAGUGCCAGCGCAGGAGCCGGGCGAGGCCGUGGCCUCCAGGGUUCCUGGGCGGAGGACAAGGCGCGCAGCCGCGUUGGCGCGAGUUUUAAAUCGGUGCCUUCUCAGCUUUGCAAACUCUUAUCAAUUGCUGCAUGCCAGAGGAAGUUUUUAAAAAAUGGCCCCCAGCUCUAUUGCGGUGUAAUUGAUGGAUAGAAAUUGUAUUUAUUUAAGGUGAACAGCUGGAUGAUGUGAUGGAGGCACGCAGGGUGGAGGGGUUACCACAGUCUAGGUACUCUACACAUCCAGAGCCUCCCACAGUUGACAAAUGGAUUUUCCUAAUCAGUUUCGUCGUGUUUUGUACUUAAGUUGAGGAUUCCACACCGUGUGGUACUUUCAGAAGAGAUGUAGUGGUGAAUAAAUCGCAACGGUUGUGAUGUUUUCCUAAUUAGGUAUUGAGAAUUACCAUUGGUAUUUGGAAUUACAUUGCGGAGCAUUUAGGAACCGUUCUCGCUAUGUUGCCCAGGCUGGUCUUGAACUCCUCAGCUGAAAUGAGCCUCCCACCUCGGCCUCCCAAAGUGCUGGGAUUACAGGCGUCCCCUCUGCCCCAGUACUGUUUCCUCUCCCCAGCCCAGCCCCCACAGCUGCCUGCCCUGGCCUCACUCCCUGGCCUCCCCCAUCCCAGCCUCUGGGUCCCUGAGUCAGUCCCUGGGGCUGUCUGCCUUCUAGGGGAGCCUCUGGUGUGGACCAGAAAGUAACCUAAUCCCUUCCAGGCCCACCCUGGAAACAAAGGGAUUUGUCCACUAGCCUGGUGGUGAGAACCAUGUGGCCCUCUGUCUCUGGCAGAGAGGACUCCAGGAUCAAGGGCAGGUAAAAGGAGGAGCCUCCUGGGGAGCUUCAGAAGGAGGGUCCCAAGUCCCUCCUGCCCCACUUCUGUGCCUGGGUCACUCACACCCCUGCCUGACUCUAGCCCCCCUUCUCCAGGGGUCUCCACAACAUGUGAAUCAUGCCCAGCGUCUUCCAUUACACCCUUGAUAAAGUCCUCUCCUCACCAGGACCUCUGUCAUUUUACCUCAUGGUUUUGAAAUAAUUUUUGGUCUUCUUAGCAGUUUAAAAAUAUUGUUUUGUUUUUUUUCCCUGAGUUUGGAGCAUUCCUGUUACUAAUUACAUUUUUUUUUGACAGGUGUACACUACUACACCCAGCUAAUUUGUUUUGUUUUGUUUUGUUUUGGUAGAGAUAGGAUCUUGCUAUGGUACCCAGGCUGGUCUUCAACUCCUGGGCUCAAGCAGUCCUCCUGCAUUGGCCUCCCAAAGUGCUGGAAUUACAGGCAUGAGGCAGCACGCCCAGCCCUAAUUACUUCUAUUACGCCAAAUUCCUUGUGUGGAAUUCCUGUGCUUUGCACACAAAUUGCCAGGUUGGCCCCGAAGGGGAAAAAGGUGGAUCCCAUUUUCCCAUCUUCUAUGCCUACGUGGCUGACAAAUCUCCCGAAUCCUACAGGAGCUGUCAUUGAUCUUUGUCCUCUAUUCGCUGAAAUAAAGUUCACCAUGGA